GAGCAAACUUAAUGGAACAACUUGCUGAGCUGGAUGCUGAAUACAAAAGAGUGAGCCUCAACACUUAAGGUUUGUGCUGAGUUUCACCAUAUCAGAGAAAGUGGCACACACCAGCAAGAUUUCACAGAUGUUGCAUGACAUUCGAAA